UACGUAGGGGGCAAGCGUUGUCCGGAAUCAUUGGGCGUAAAGAGCGUGUAGGCGGUCCGGUAAGUCGGCUGUGAAAGUCCAGGGCUCAACCCUGGGAUGCCGGUCGAUACUGCCGGACUAGAGUUCGGAAGAGGCGAGUGGAAUUCCCGGUGUAGCGGUGAAAUGCGCAGAUAUCGGGAGGAACACCGGUGGCGAAGGCGGCGACCUGGGUAGAUACUGACGCUGAGGUGCGAAAGCGUGGGGAGCAAACAGG
rnacentral:rRNA from 1 species